UACGUAGGGUGCAAGCGUUGUCCGGAAUUAUUGGGCGUAAAAGAGCUCGUAGGCGGUCUGUCGCGUCUGCUGUGAAAACUCAGGGCUUAACCCUGAGCCUGCAGUGGGUACGGGCAGACUAGAGUGUGGUAGGGGAGAUCGGAAUUCCUGGUGUAGCGGUGGAAUGCGCAGAUAUCAGGAGGAACACCGGUGGCGAAGGCGGCUUCCUGGGACCGAUUACUGACGCUGAGGCGCGAAAGCUAGGGGAGCAAACGGG
rnacentral:rRNA from 1 species